CGCGGCCUAUCAGCUUGUUGGUGGGGUGAUGGCCUACCAAGGCGACGACGGGUAGCCGGCCUGAGAGGGCGUCCGGCCACACUGGGACUGAGACACGGCCCAGACUCCUACGGGAGGCAGCAGUGGGGAAUAUUGCACAAUGGGCGGAAGCCUGAUGCAGCGACGCCGCGUGAGGGAUGACGGCCUUCGGGUUGUAAACCUCUUUCACCAAGGACGAAGCGGGAGUGACGGUACUUGGGAAGAAGCACCGGCUAACUACGUGCCAGCAGCCGCGGUAAUACGUAGGGUGCGAGCGUUGUCCGGAAUUAUUGGGCGUAAAGAGCUCGUAGGCGGCUCGUUGCGUCUACCGUGAAAACUGGAGGCUUAACCUUCAGCUUGCGGUGGAUACGGGCGGGCUAGAGUUCGGUAGGGGAGACUGGAAUUCCUGGUGUAGCGGCGAAAUGCGCAGAUAUCAGGAGGAACACCGGUGGCGAAGGCGGGUCUCUGGGCCGAUACUGACGCUGAGGAGCGAAAGCGUGGGGAGCGAACAGGAUUAGAUACCCUGGUAGUCCACGCUGUAAACGUUGGGCGCUAGGUGUGGGUGACAUCCACGUUGUCCGUGCCGUAGCUAACGCAUUCAGCGCCCCGCCUGGGGAGUACGG
rnacentral:rRNA from 1 species